rnacentral:rRNA from 1 species
GAUGAACGCUGGCGGCGUGCCUAAUACAUGCAAGUCGAGCGAACAGACGAGGAGCUUGCUCCUCUGACGUUAGCGGCGGACGGGUGAGUAACACGUGGAUAACCUACCUAUAAGACUGGGAUAACUUCGGGAAACCGGAGCUAAUACCGGAUCAUAUAUUGAACCGCUUGGUUCAAUAGUGAAAGACGGUUUUGCUGUCACUUUUAGAUGGAUCCGCGCCGCAUUAGCUAGUUGGUAAGGUAACGGCUUACCAAGGCAACGAUGCGUAGCCGACCUGAGAGGGUGAUCGGCCACACUGGAACUGAGACACGGUCCAGACUCCUACGGGAGGCAGCAGUAGGGAAUCUUCCGCAAUGGGCGAAAGCUUGACGGAGCAACGCCGCGUGAGUGAUGAAGGUCUUCGGAUCGUAAAACUCUGUUAUUAGGGAAGAACAAAUGUGUAAGUAACUAUGCACGUCUUGACGGUACCUAAUCAGAAAGCCACGGCUAACUACGUG